AGAAAUGAUUACCACAUCCAAGGAAGGCCGUAGGUGCGCAAAUUACACAAUUCUGACACAGGGAGGUAGUGAAAAUAAACAACAGUACUGGGCUCUACUAGUUUGGUAAUUGGAAUGAGUACAAUCUAAAUCCCUUAACGAGGAUCCAU
rnacentral:ncRNA from 1 species